UACGGGGGGAGCAAGCGUUGUUCGGAUUUACUGGGCGUAAAGGGCGCGUAGGCGGGUCAUCAAGUCCGGGGUGAAAUCCUUCGGCUCAACCGGAGCAGGGCUUCGGAUACUGGUGACCUCGAGGGGUGUAGGGGCAUGUGGAACUUCCGGUGGAGCGGUGAAAUGCGUAGAUAUCGGAAGGAACGCCGGUGGCGAAAGCGACGUGCUGGACACCUUCUGACGCUGAGGCGCGAAAGCCAGGGGAGCAAACGGG
rnacentral:rRNA from 1 species